rnacentral:misc_RNA from 1 species
GAAAUGCGAUACGUAAUGUGAAUUGCAGAAUUCAGUGAAUCAUCGAAUCUUUGAACGCACAUUGCGCUCUCUGGUAUUCCGGAGAGCAUGCUUGUUUGAGUAUCAGUAAAACACCCUCAAUUCUCUUGUUUUUCAAGGAAAUUGGACUUGAGUGAUCCCAACGGCGGCGUUAAAAACCGCUGGCGGGCCACUUGAAAUGCAGGUGCGGCUGGACACUUCUUCUGAGCUAUAAGCAUUACUUAUUUAAUCCCGUCAAACGGAUUAUUUCUAUUGCUACAGCUAACAUAAAGGUUGAUUGUCCUUGUGCCCGACUGAUGCAGGAAAACAAAGAGUAAUCUUUGUUCAACUCGAUCUCAAAUCAAGUAAGACUACCCGCUGAACUUAA